rnacentral:rRNA from 1 species
AGAGUUUGAUCCUGGCUCAGAACGAACGCUGGCGGCGUGGAUUAGGCAUGCAAGUCGAACGCGAAAGAGGGGAAACCCUCGAGUAGAGUGGCGAACGGGUGAGUAACACGUGAAGAACCUGCCUUCAACAGGGGGAUAACACUCCUAACGGGGUGCUAAUACCGCAUGAGACCACGGGGCUGCAUGGCCCUGCGGUCAAAGGUGGCCUCUGCUUGCAAGCUACCGGUUGAAGAUGGCUUCGCGUCCCAUUAGCUAGUUGGCGGUGUAACGGACCACCAAGGCGACGAUGGGUAGCUGGUCUGAGAGGAUGGUCAGCCACACUGGGACUGAGAUACGGCCCAGACUCCUACGGGAGGCAGCAGUCGAGAGGCUUCGGCAAUGGGGGAAACCCUGACCGAGCGACGCCGCGUGGAGGAUGAAGGCCCUUGGGUUGUAAACUCCUUUUGUUGGGGAAGAAAUGCGAUCAGGUGAACAAUCUGGUCGCUUGACGGUACCCGACGAAUAAGCUCCGGCUAACUCCGUGCCAGCAGCCGCGGUAACACGGGGGGAGCAAGCGUUGUUCGGAAUCACUGGGCGUAAAGGGCGUGUAGGCGGCUAGGUAAGUGGGAUGUGAAAUCCCUCGGCUCACCCGAGGAUCUGCAUCCCAAACUGCUUGGCUUGAGUAUGGGAGAGGAUGAGGGAAUUCCUGGUGUAGCGGUGAAAUGCGUAGAUAUCAGGAGGAACACCGGUGGCGAAGGCGCUCAUCUGGCCCAAUACUGACGCUGAGGCGCGAAAGCUAGGGGAGCAAACGGGAUUAGAUACCCCGGUAGUCCUAGCCGUAAACGGUGAUCACUAGGUGUUGGGGGCAUCGACCCCUCCAGUGCCGCAGCUAACGCAUUAAGUGAUCCGCCUGGGGAGUACGGCCGCAAGGUUGAAACUCAAAGGAAUUGACGG